CAAUUUAUUGGAAGAAAUUUUUCAGCAAGUGCAUGCAGGACCACGGAGGUGCAGGGGAAGAGAAGUAAAACGGGGUGGGGAAGGUGGAAGCUGAACUUGACACUUCCACUUGACUUCUUCUGCUAAGACCAUUAAUUUGGUCCCUGUGAUACUGAACAGGCUAAAUGUUAUAGUUACUCAGUCAAUGUGACGAAGUCUAGAAGUUUCUGCUGUGGCACUGGGGGUUAAGGAUCCAGAAUUGCUGCAGCUGUGGCCUAGGUUGCAGCCAAGGCUCAGAUUCAACCCUGGCCUAAAAAGUUCUCAUAUGCAUGGGAAAACAAACCAAAAAAAUGAGACUAAAUCUAAAUAGUUUCACUUUCAUUUGAAUUUAAGAGGAAAGGAGCCCUCGUUCAUUAAUCCAUUAAUGAUCAAUUAAUCAAUUAAUACAUUCAUGCAGAAUCAGGAUUUUUCCAGCAGCAGGCAAGCCAUGGUGUGCAGCCUACCUGGGAAGUUAUCUGGUUGCAGGGAGGUGGGCCUGCGACCUCUCUAAGUAGCUUAGGUUAUCAGAAGUCAAGGUAGAAACUUUGGCCAGAAAAGAAUGCAAGAGGCACAUAACACCAGUUCAGCCAGAUUUCACUGGAAACUCCAUGCAGCUUCCUAUAUUCAUACUUUUUUCCAUUAGGUUUGGAAUGAAGAAAAGUUUGGCUAGAGCAUUAGUCAUCAGAAUUUCACUACCCUUGUACUUAAGUGCUUGUCUUUUUUUCUUUUAAGUAUAAAAAAAUGUAAUAUAAACUAUAGGUUUGACUCCAUUGACCUGGAGCUUGGUGGAUUCAUGUGGGUAGAUGAAUGAAGAGGCUGUACUACGUUUUUUUAGAUUGUAAGCUUCCCUAGGUAGGAAAUUAUCCUUUCUUCCUAAAGUGGCCAGUAAGUGGCAGUUAUUAAAGUGAUGGUUUUUGGAGGAGGGCUGAUUUAUCUGAACAUGGUUCUUUUUUUUUUUUAGAAGAAAAAUUAGUUAUUUUGUGUUAAAAUUUUUAUGGCGAUAUAAUUGAAAAAUAAAUAAAAUUGUAUACAUUUAAUGAGGGCAAUGUGCUAAAUUGAUAUAUGUAUAUACCUUGUGAAAUGAUUAGCACGAUCAAAAUAAGUAACACAUCCUUUGCCCCACACAGUUGCAAUUUUACUGAUUUUUUCUGAGAAUGCUUGAUAUCUCCUUUCCUAGUAAAUCUCAAUUAUGCAAUACAGUAUUACUAAUUAUAUUAAUCAUGCUGUACCUUAGACCUUCGUAAUUUAUUUGUCUAAUAACAAAAGUUUGUAUGUUUUGACCACCAUCAUUCACCAUCUGAGCAUGUUCUAAUGAAAGUAUUGGAUGUUUCCUGUAGUUUAAGUACCACUGAUGUUUGGGUUGUCCUACCACUGGGAAUGUUCCAUGGUUAUGGACCUAGCAUUGCUUGCUUAACAUCUCACAGAGACCUGGCAGAAGCCAGGCCUGGUGACUCCUGGGGGCCAGAGGUUGAGCUCCAGGUUGAUUUGUCUUUGCCACGUGGUCAUGAAGGCUAAUGGUUCUGUAAUGACAGUGAAACCAAAGUUGAAAUCACAACUUCCUGUCGUGGCACAGUGGUUAACAAAUCCGACUAGGAACCAUGGGGUUGUGGGUUCAAUCCCUGGCCUUGACCAGUGGGUUGGGGACCCGGCCUUGCUGUGAGCUGUGGUGUAGGUUGCUUACACGGCUUGGAUCCUGCGUUGCUGUGGCUCUGGCAUAGGCCGUCGGUUGCAGCUCCGAUUUGACCCCUGGUCUGGGAAUCUCCAUAUGCCACUGGAGCGGCCCUAGAAAAGGCAAAAAG
rnacentral:lncRNA from 1 species